rnacentral:rRNA from 1 species
GACGAACGCUGGCGGCGUGCUUAACACAUGCAAGUCGAACGAUGAAGCCGGAGCUUGCUCUGGUGAAUUAGUGGCGAACGGGUGAGUAACACGUGAGUAACCUGCCCUUGACUCUGGGAUAACUGCUAGAAAUGGUAGCUAAUACCGGAUACGACCCUCGGAGGCAUCUCCAGGGGGUGGAAAGAAUUUCGGUCAAGGAUGGACUCGCGGCCUAUCAGCUAGUUGGUGAGGUAAUGGCUCACCAAGGCGACGACGGGUAGCCGGCCUGAGAGGGUGACCGGCCACACUGGGACUGAGACACUGCCCAGACUCCUACGGGAGGCAGCAGUGGGGAAUAUUGCACAAUGGGCGCAAGCCUGAUGCGGCAACGCCGCGUGAGGGAUGACGGCCUUCGGGUUGUAAACCUCUUUUAGUAGGGAAGAAGCGAAAGUGACGGUACCUGCAGAAAAAGCACCGGCUAACUACGUGCCAGCCGCCGCAGUAA